UACCAGCACCCCGAGUGGUCGGGACGAUUAUUGGGCCUAAAGCAUCCGUAGCCGGUUCUUUAAGUCCUCCGUUAAAUCCACCUGCUUAACAGAUGGGCUGCGGAGGAUACUAUAGAGCUAGGAGGCGGGAGAGGCAAGCGGUACUCAGUGGGUAGGGGUAAAAUCCGUUGAUCCAUUGAAGACCACCAGUGGCGAAGGCGGCUUGCCAGAACGCGCGCGACGGUGAGGGAUGAAAGCUGGGGGAGCAAACCGG
rnacentral:rRNA from 1 species